GGUUUGAUAAAAUGUAAGUCGCUCUGGAUAAGAGCGUCCGCUAAAUGACAAAAA
rfam:Salmo salar isolate Sally breed double haploid chromosome ssa09, whole genome shotgun sequence.